ACACCAGGAUAAAGGACCCCAGAUUGAAGAGGGAAGGAAUUAGGUUCAACACGGACAAAAGAAAACACCACGCACUGCGGGUGGAAGUGAUGUCAUCUGGGAGUGAAAAAUGUGUUUCAGGUUGCCCUAUAAAUCGAUGAAGGCUUCAGAGAGGAUGCACAGUCCAGAACUCUGCUGUAUCAAGUGACCACUGCAUCUAAAUCAAAGAGAACUAGUUAUUCCAGCUGCAAACAGGACACAGUAUUUAAUUAUCAACCCUGAAAGCAGUAACCAAGGUAUCAACAUCACUUCUGGCAAAAUUUAAAUUGAUUUUCAUCCUUUGAUGCUGUUUAAUCACUGCUAUCCCACCUACCCCAGAGGAGAGAUUAAACCAUCGUUUUCCUCCACCCUGUCUUUUUAGGGAUUCAGUCCAAA